GUAGGGGGCAAGCGUUGUCCGGAUUUAUUGGGCGUAAAGAGCUCGUAGGCGGCUCAGUAAGUCAGGUGUGAAACCUCCAGGCUCAACCUGGAGACGCCACCUGAUACUGCUGUGGCUAGAGUCCGGUAGGGGAGCGUGGAAUUCCUGGUGUAGCGGUGAAAUGCGCAGAUAUCAGGAGGAACACCAGCGGCGAAGGCGGCGCUCUGGGCCGGAACUGACGCUGAGGAGCGAAAGCGUGGGUAGCAAACAGGAUUAGAUACCCUGGUAGUCCACGCCGUAAACGUUGGGCACUAGGUGUGGGUCACAACCAACGUGAUCUGUGCCGUAGCUAACGCAUUAAGUGCCCCGCCUGGGGAGUACGGCCGCAAGGCUA
rnacentral:rRNA from 1 species